AUUGAACGCUGGCGGCAGGCCUAACACAUGCAAGUCGAACGAGUGGCGGACGGGUGAGUAAUGUCUUGGAAACUGCCUGAUGGCGGGGGAUAACUACUGGAAACGGUAGCUAAUACCGCAUACCAUCAGAUGUGCCCAGAGGGGUUUAGCUAGGUGGUGGGGUAACGGCUCACAAAGGCGACGAUCCCUAGCUGGUCUGAGAGGAUGACCAGCCACACUGGAACUGAGCAACGGUCCAGACUCCUACGGGAGGCAGCAGUGGGGAAUAUUGCACAAUGGGCGAAAGCCUGAUGCAGCCAUGCCGCGUGUAGGAAGAAGGCCUUCGGGUUGUAAAGUACUUUCAGCGGGGAGGCGUUACCCGAAGAAGAAGCACCGGCUAACUCCGUGCCAGCAGCCGCGGUAAUAC
rnacentral:rRNA from 1 species